rnacentral:rRNA from 1 species
UACGGAGGGUGCGAGCGUUGUCCGGAAUUAUUGGGCGUAAAGAGCUCGUAGGCGGUUCGUCGCGUCGGCUGUGAAAUCCCGAGGCUCAACCUCGGGUCUGCAGUCGAUACGGGCGGACUGGAGUUCGGCAGGGGAGACUGGAAUUCCUGGUGUAGCGGUGAAAUGCGCAGAUAUCAGGAGGAACACCGGUGGCGAAGGCGGGUCUCUGGGCCGAGACUGACGCUGAGGAGCGAAAGCGUGGGGAGCGAACAGG